UUUUAAGCAUCUUAGAAUUUUCUAGAGUUUUCUUUUUUUUUUUUUAACGUAUUUGUAUUUCUUUUUUAAUUAUUUUUUUCAACAUUUAUUUAUUUGAGAGAGACAGAGCGUGAGCAGGGGAGGGGCAGAGGAGGGGCAGACACAGAAUCCGAAACAGGCUCCAGGCUCCGAGCUGUCAGCACAGACCGCGACGCGGGGCUCGAACUCACGAACUGUGAGAUCAUGACCUGAGCCGACGUCCGACACUUAACAAACUGAGCCACCCAGGCGCCCCUGUGAUUAAAGUUCUUUAAAGAAAGCCAAGCACGGAGUUGAACUUCGGGGUUGAAGCAGGUUGGAAGCGUGCCGUGCCGCUGGGCCCCACUACAGACGUCGGGAACCUAAACAGGAUGGACCCUGAUUGAUUUGAUUUUUUUGUUGUUGUUUUAAUUUCUUUUUUAAGUUGAUUUAUUUAUUUAUUUUGAGAGACAGCAAGAGCCCGCACGCGGGAAGGAGCAGAGAGAGAGAUUCCCAAGCAGGCCCCAUGCUCCACCACGGGGCUCAAUCUCACGACUGAGAUCAUGACCUGAGCCGGAAUCAAGAGUGGGAUGUUCAACCAACUGAGCCACCCAGAAUGAUUAGAAUUACAGUUCAUCUUGAAGUUGUAGGUCCAUCUGACUGCUGAUGGAAUUUGCCUGGACAGGCUGCCAUACCGUGAGGAAGCCCAAACUGCAGGGAGAGGCCACGCCACAGGGAGAGGACACGUGUCGUGACGCCGGUUGGCAGCCCCAGCAGAGAUUCGAGGCAGAAGCCAGUGCCAGCCACCAGAUGUGAGUGAGGAAGCCUUUCAGGUGAGCCCAGCCCCAGCCAGUUUCUGCAACUGCAUUAGAUACCUUGAACAAGAACCAGCCCCAGAACCGUGAAAGAAUAACGGUUGUUGUUGCCUUUUACCGCUAAGUUUGGAGUUGUUACACAGCACUGUAUAACCAGAACAACUUGCAUUAACUGAUUUAGUUCUUCCGACAACCCUAGGAGAGGGAAUG